rnacentral:rRNA from 1 species
AACGACCGCUAAUACCCCAUAUGCCUAUUGGUGAAAUGAAUUUCGCCUGAGGAUGAGCUCGCGUCUGAUUAGCUAGUUGGUGAGGUAAUGGCUCACCAAGGCUUCGAUCAGUAGCUGGUCUGAGAGGAUGAUCAGCCACACUGGGACUGAGACACGGCCCAGACUCCUACGGGAGGCAGCAGUGGGGAAUUUUCCGCAAUGGGCGAAAGCCUGACGGAGCAACGCCGCGUGAGGGACGAAGGCCUCUGGGCUGUAAACCUCUUUUCUCAAGGAAGAAGAUAUGACGGUACUUGAGGAAUA